rnacentral:rRNA from 1 species
GACGAACCGUGCGAACGUUGUUCGGAAUCACUGGGCUUAAAGGGCGCGUAGGCGGGUCGGCCAGUCUGUGGUGAAAUCCCCCGGCUUAACCGGGGAACGGCCGCGGAUACUGCCGACCUCGAGGGGGGUAGGGGCGUGCGGAACACUAGGUGGAGCGGUGAAAUGCGUUGAUAUCUGGAGGAACACCGGUGGCGAAGGCGGCAUCCUGGACCGGCAUUGACGCUGAGGCGCGAAAGCUAGGGGAGCAAACGGG